GACUUUACAACAUGUAUUUUCUGAGUGUGAAAAGGUUAGAGAGUUUUAGGGAAUAUUGGACUUUGAUUACCCGCAGAUUAUGGGUCAAAACAUAGUAAGUUGGAUAAAAUAAGUGGAAGCCGGUCAAAGUAAGAGAAGGCAUAAACUUUUUAUUUGUCUAUGUAGAAUUUAGAAUGAACGGAAUGAACUUAUGUGAAAUUACUGAAUAUUUG
rnacentral:lncRNA from 1 species